ACCAAACCUGGGGGAUAAGAGCGGAGAUGGGGGUGGGUAAGUGGGGAAGAGGCCCAGGAGAGCCGCAGGGUGCCCGGGGAUGAGGACACUUAUUGGUGAGAGGUGCUGGGUUCACAUCUGUCUACUUUGCAUCCAGCUGUGGGGCGUCUAUUCACCCAUCCAUCCAUCUAUCCAUCCAAUCAUACCUGCAUGUGUGCAUGAACACAUGCAUACAUCAUACCCAUGUGCAUUCAUCCCAUCCGUCUAAUGCAAACAUGCACACGUACAAUUAUACAUGCAUACACCAUACGCACAUACAUCAUGCCUGCAUUUACCCAUCGAUAUGAUCAUACAUACAUCAUACACAUAUUCAUCCACCCAUCUAAUACAAACAUGCACACGUACAGUUAUACAUAUAUACACCAUACGCACAUAUAUCAUGCAUACAUUUACCCAUCUAUAUGAUCAUACGUACAUCAUACACAUUUUCAUCCAUCCAUCUAAUACAAACAUGCACACAUACAAUUAUACAUGCAUACACCAUAC
rnacentral:lncRNA from 10 species